rnacentral:lncRNA from 1 species
AAGAAUGUCACCUAAGAAACAAGAGCACACUUACCUCUGAUGUCCCCAAGGCAUUAGGUAGAAUCCCGUUGUCCACACUGACUGGGUUUUAGGGAGGGAUUUCGUGGCCUGCCUUUUUCGUAGAAAGUGGCCCCAGCCAGUGUGACCUGGUCUCUGAGCCUUGUCGUCACAACCACCUGCUGAGUUCCCAGGCUUCCUGGUGGGCACUUUUCCUGCCAUUUAUCAGGUCAAAGUAAAGUGGGAAUUGUCCAGUGACUGCCAGUAGCCAGCUCUCAGGCUGCUAGUAGACUCACGCUUUGGGGGCCGACUUCUCUGGAUAGCUGCUCACAUUUCCUGCCUCAGUCAGCCCACUCCGCCCAGCAUUUGCCCCACAGGCCGAGGGCCCUGGCACCCCAGAUGUCACCCUUCCUCCCGGGAGGGCUGCAGGCAACGGCCUUCUUGCCCUGCCUCUGUGUCUCGUGUCCUUAUAAGAACACCAGUCACUGGAUUCCAGGCUGACCCUCAUCCAGCUCAACCUCAUCUCCACUCUCAACUAUCUGCAGAGACCUGUUUCCACACAAGCUCACAUCACGAGGCUCUGGGGGGACGUGGAUUUUGGAGGAACACCUCUCAGCCCACUACAGAGCCUUUUACUACCAUCAAUCAAAUGAAUUUUUCAAAGGCACGUCUGUUAUACAUUUUUUUUUCAGUGAGCUUUUUCUGAGAACUUUUUGGGUUCAAAGCACCCAGAUGGUAUAAAUGACGUGGAAAAUGGCCCUCCCAAAAAGAUGCCAUGAGGGAGCUGCACAUGGGGCUGGGGGGAGUCGGAGACAGCACGUGUGAGCGGACGUGUGGCCGGCACCCAAACCAGACGCCAUGUGAUUACAGAUCCUGCAGGGAAUUACAGGAGGCAACUCAACGUAGGAGAUUGGUGUCAUACUAACAGAAAACCAAGACUGAAGAGACAGGAACGACUGUCCGGGUUUCCCAGACAGGACCGUCCCAGGAAGCAGACAACACAGGCCUGCGUGCGGCCCUGGCCUUGAGUGUGCUGGACGCAGGGGACCGUCCCAGGAAGCGGACAACACAGCCCUGCGUGCGGCCCUGGCCGUGAGUGUGCUGGACGCAGGGGACCGUCCCAGGAAGCGGACAACACAGCCCUGCGUGCGGCCCUGGCCGUGAGUGUGCUGGACGCAGGGGACCGUCCCAGGAAGCGGACAACACAGGCCUGCGUGCGGCCCUGGCCGUGAGUGUGCUGGACGCAGGGGACCGUCCCAGGAAGCGGACAACACAGGCCUGCGUGCGGCCCUGGCCGUGAGUGUGCUGGACGCAGGGGACCGUCCCAGGAAGCGGACAACACAGGCCUGCGUGCGGCCCUGGCCGUGAGUGUGCUGGACGCAGGGGACCGUCCCAGGAAGCGGACAACACAGGCCUGUGUGCGGCCCUGGCCGUGAGUGUGCUGGACGCAGGGGACCGUCCCAGGAAGCGGACAACACAGGCCUGCGUGUGGCCCUGGCCGUGAGUGUGCUGGACGCAGGGGACCGUCCCAGGAAGCGGACAACACAGGCCUGCGUGUGGCCCUGGCCGUGAGUGUGCUGGACGCAGGGGACCGUCCCAGGAAGCGGACAACACAGGCCUGUGUGCGGCCCUGGCCGUGAGUGUGCUGGACGCAGGGGACCGUCCCAGGAAGCGGACAACACAGGCCUGCGUGCGGCCCUGGCCGUGAGUGUGCUGGACGCAGGGGACCGUCCCAGGAAGCGGACAACACAGGCCUGCGUGCGGCCCUGGCCGUGAGUGUGCUGGACGCAGGGGACCGUCCCAGGAAGCGGACAACACAGGCCUGCGUGCGGCCCUGGCCGUGAGUGUGCUGGACGCAGGGGACCGUCCCAGGAAGCGGACAACACAGGCCUGCGUGCGGCCCUGGCCGUGAGUGUGCUGGACGCAGGGUACCGUCCCAGGAAGCGGACAACACAGCCCUGCGUGCGGCCCUGCCGUGAGUCUCCACCUUUCUGUCUCUCUGGGCUGUGGCUGGGCAGCACGGAAGGGGGGAAUCACCUACCUUUUGGUCCAGAAAAAUCCAUUCCACAGUUUCCACCUUCCCUCACUGACAAACGGGAUUUUAAAUCCCUUUAUCUGGAGACAAACAGAAAGUGUGUGCUUGUGGCGAAUAAUUUCAGCUGAUAUUCUUACCAGCUGUUAAGAAACACAUGCAAAAAAAAAAAAAAAAAAGACUGGUGACAUCUGGCUGGCAUUGAUAUUUUGUGACAGAGUAUCUUUUUCCUGGGGGUGUUUUCCAAGAAACCAGUCUCUGGGUCCCCAAUCCCCUCACUGCCUGACUGCUUCAGCCUCCAGCCCCCAACCUUUGACCUCUUUGAAAAACAAAAAAGAAAGUGAUCAUAUUGACCAAAGCAACUGUAACCCAAAUUGCGGCCACAUAAUUGGGCGUGGUGACAUUGCAUUAGCUCAGAUUAAACAAUGGCCCAGCAGCUGCUUCCCCACGCCAGGCUUUCGACUUCAACUUCCCCUGAGCCACACAAUGGGGCAUUUUGCUGAGAUGGGAAAGAUCAGGAGAGGAGGCCCUGUUCCCUGCCACGGCCAGCUGACCUCCUUCUCCUCUUCUAACUGCUUGUAAUCGGAGGGAUUGUAAAUAAUGUCAGAUAAACGUACUAACACUGUGAAUGUUUUCUCUGAAAUGUCCAAGUCUAUUUUGCCUCAUUUUCCCAAGAACGCUGAUGAAAUGGGCCAGUUUCAGACGGAAGUUUAGACUGGUUAGACCCCUUCUGGAUGAGCCGAGGUGCUCAGAUACAGCCCGGCACCAAACAGGGACUUUGCCGUCAACGGCACACCCCACAGGUGGCGGUGGCGCCGUAAGAUUGUCAUGGAGCUGAAAGCGUCUGGUCCCUCGGCUGUCACCUGGCUGUCACAUCACAGCACAACGCAUGGCUCCCGCCCCUGUGUGACGCCAGCGUGAACAAGUCCACAGCGCUGCCAGCCGGGCACAAGUCCAGCACACGUGAUCGUCCACAGCACACACGACCAGAUAAUGUUAAUAAACUUUGUUCCCGGGUGCGUAUUUACUAUACCAAACUUUUAGUCAUUAUUUUAGAGUGCGUUCCUUCUAUUUAUUAAAAAAAAAAGUUAACUGUAGAGCAGCCUCAGGCAGGUCCUGCGGGAGGCGUCCAGGAGAAACCGUGUUAUCACAGGAGACGACAGCUCUGUGCAUCACUGCCCCCAGAGACCUUCCAGUGAGACCAGAUGUGGAGGGGAAGACGGUGAUAUUGAUGAUCUUGACUCCAUGCAGGCCUAGGAUGAUGUGUGUGUCUUAGUUUUUUAACAAAAAAGUUUAAAAAGUUAAAAUGUUUUAAACAGAAAAAAGCUAAUAGAAUAAGGAUAUAAAGAAAGAAACUAUUUUUGUGCAGCUGUACAACAUGUUUGUAUUUGAAGCUACAUAUUAUAAGAGUCAAAGAGUUAAAAAAUUAAAAAGUUUAUAAAGCAAGAAGGUUACAGUAAACUAAGGUUGAUUUAUUAUUAGAGAAGGAAAUUUUUAACAAUGGAUUUAGUGUAGCCUAAGUGUGUGGUGUAUGUAAAGCCUACAGCAGCACGGUCAUGUCCUGGCUUCCCACUCACUCUCCACUCACUCAUGGACUCACCGGAGCAGCCUGCGUGUGCAGUGUGUGUAAAGCCUAUAGCAGUGUACGGUCAUGUCCUGGCCUUCCCACUCACUCCCCACUCACUCACGGACUCACCGGAGCAGCCUGCAUGUGCAGUGUGUAUAAAGCCUACAGCAGUAUACGGUCAUGUCCUGGCCUUCCCACUCACUCCCCACUCACUCAUGGACUCACCGGAGCAGCCUGCGUGUGCAGUGUGUAUAAAGCCUAUAGCAGUGUACGGUCAUGUCCUGGUCUUCCCACUCACUCAUGGACUUACCGGAGCAGCCUGCGUGUGCAGUGUGUAUAAAGCCUACAGCAGUGUACGGUCAUGUCCUGGCCUUCCCACUCACUCCCCACUCACUCAUGGACUCACUAGAGCAG